rnacentral:lncRNA from 10 species
GUGAAACCUCAUCUCUACUAAAAAUACAAAAAUCAGGGCAUUCCUCUCCAGCAGGGCCCUGAGCACCCUGGGCUUUUGUACCCCCAGCAGGGGGCUGGUGCCAUGAUUGCUCAUUCACAUAUGAACACUCACCUAACACAGGCAGGAACGGCAAUGAGUGUGGUGUGGGAAAAAGGCACAAAUAGAAAGACGCCAACUUAGAAGCCAGCUGCCUGCCCCACCCCCAGUCCCUUCUGCUCCCUGCUGCUGCCUCAGUCACUCAGCAAGGCCAUCAUCAGUCAAAGAGCAGAGACUGUGGCCUCAAGAGGAGCCCUGGGGCUCACAGGUGCUUACUCCUCUAUCUUGACCACAGACCCAUCAAAAACCCUUUGCACAAUAUGUGCUCUCAGUAUUGACCAAUUACAGUCCACCACUGAACACUGACUAGGCCCAAGCAAACAUAUCAGUUUGCUGGCAACU